UACGUAGGGGGCAAGCGUUGUCCGGAUUUAUUGGGCGUAAAGAGCGUGUAGGCGGCCUGAAAGGUCAGCUGUGAAAACUCGAGGCUCAACCUCGAGACGUCGGUUGAAACCAUCUGGCUAGAGUUCGGUAGGGGAGACUGGAAUUCCUGGUGUAGCGGUGAAAUGCGCAGAUAUCAGGAGGAACACCGAUGGCGAAGGCAGGUCUCUGGGCCGAUACUGACGCUGAGGAGCGAAAGCGUGGGGAGCGAACAGG
rnacentral:rRNA from 1 species